CCGAAUCGGUCGCAGGUGGCCGCCGACAGCGAGGGCAGGCUGGACUUAGACGCUAGCCGGAGGCGGGCCUGGGCCGUCUCUGAGUCCGGCUGCUGCACACACCGAGCUGUUCCAGGGCGACUCUGCGUGCCACCUCGCUCCCUCGCCUCCUCUUGUUUGAGUUCUUAGCACACUGAGCUCUUUUUGGCGUGGCCGGAACACUGGCAGUGUGCAAGCUCAUCACUCUACUGAAGCUCCCAGGAUCCUGGCAGAAUGUGACCUCCACCUGAAGUCCUGUCCCAGGACGGUUGGCACCUUGGCACGCAGCUUCUGGGAAGUGUACAGGUCCAUCCCUUUCCACCAUCCUGGGAGAGAGAAGAGCUGCCCUGGUGCAUCCAUCCACCACACAGCCAAUAGCUACUGAAUGUCUGAUACUUCACUCAGGAUUCCUUCUGUGUCCCCCUCCACCCUCAUUGCUGUCUCACAUCCUUUCUGCACAUCCCCAGCCCUCUAUGCUUUGGAACACUGAUGAAGAUACCCACAGGCUGCCUCCCCAUCUUUGCAAUGUGAUUGGCACAGAGAAUA